rnacentral:rRNA from 1 species
CCUACGGGAGGCAGCAGUGAGGAAUAUUGGUCAAUGGACGAGAGUCUGAACCAGCCAAGUAGCGUGAAGGCUGACUGCCCUAUGGGUUGUAAACUUCUUUUAUAUGGGAAUAAAAUGUUCCACGUGUGGGAUUUUGUAUGUACCAUAUGAAUAAGGAUCGGCUAACUCCGUGCCAGCAGCCGCGGUAAUACGGAGGAUCCGAGCGUUAUCCGGAUUUAUUGGGUUUAAAGGGAGCGUAGGUGGAUUGUUAAGUCAGUUGUGAAAGUUUGCGGCUCAACCGUAAAAUUGCAGUUGAAACUGGCAGUCUUGAGUACAGUAGAGGUGGGCGGAAUUCGUGGUGUAGCGGUGAAAUGCUUAGAUAUCACGAAGAACUCCGAUUGCGAAGGCAGUUCACUGGACUGCAACUGACACUGAGGCUCGAAAGUGUGGGUAUCAAACAGGAGUAGAUACCCUAGUAGUC